UUCAGGAACUACCUGUCCGCCAUCUUGUUCAGAAGUGGUUACACGGUACAUUCGCUGGAAUUAGUAUCGUAAAUUGAUAUUUACACAGAAACUAUCAUUAAAUAUAUUAAGUAAAGCGAACGGUGCGUACUCACCAGAGCUGAUGGGUAGCACUAUUCAGUCAGACAGUACAUAUUUGCGUAUUCUUCAUCAAGGCGAUCCGAUUAGUACACAGGGCAUCAGUCCAUUGAGCCCGACGUAAAUUGAGGAUAAAAAGGAAGAUAUAUAUAUAUUCUCAGCUUCAUCAUCUACGUGAACUUAGAUACAGCCAUUUGGUCACUUUGGUGACGUCAACAUUAUUGCCAACCUUGUGAAUGCACCGAGAGCUAAGUCUUCUGAAAAAUGAACAGUGCAUGUUUGUGGCCACUUUUCACCCAACUGUGUUGCUCACACAGUUGACCUAUCGAUGUUUUACGUUUUAAAAAUAUCUUUUUCAAUAUUAAAA